CCUACGGGUGGCAGCAGUGGGGAAUAUUGGGCAAUGGGCGAAAGCCUGACCCAGCAACGCCGCGUGAAGGAAGAAGGCUCUCGGGUUGUAAACUUCUUUUGACCGGGAAGAGUAGAAGUCGGUACCUGUCGAAUACGCCACGGCUAACUACGUGCCAGCAGCCGAGGUCAUACGUAGGUGGCAAGCGUUUUCCGGAUUUACUGGGUGUAAAGGGCGUGUAGCCGGGUUGACAAGUCAGAUGUGAAAUCCGGGGGCUCAACCCCCGAACUGCAUUUGAAACUGUUGGUCUUGAGUAUCGGAGAGGCAUGCGGAAUUCCUAGUGUAGCGGUGAAAUGCGUAGAUAUUAGGAAGAACACCAGUGGCGAAGGCAGCCUGCUGGACGACAACUGACGGUGAGGCGCGAAAGCGUGGGGAGCAAACAGGAUUAGAUACCCUUGUAGUC
rnacentral:rRNA from 1 species